UACGGAGGGUGCAAGCGUUGCUCGGAAUUACUGGGCGUAAAGCGUGUGUAGGCGGCUUCGUAAGUCGGGUGUGAAAGCCCUGGGCUUAACCCAGGAACUGCGCUCGAUACUGUGAAGCUUGUGUGCCGGAGAGGGUGGUAGAAUUCCCAGUGUAGAGGUGAAAUUCGUAGAUAUUGGGAGGAAUACCAGUGGCGAAGGCGGCCACCUGGACGGACACUGACGCUGAGACACGAAAGCGUGGGGAGCAAACAGG
rnacentral:rRNA from 1 species